rnacentral:rRNA from 1 species
AACGAACGCUGGCGGCAGGCCUAAAACAUGCAAGUCGAACGGGUGUAGCAAUACAUCAGUGGCGCACGGGUGAGUAACGCGUGGGAACAUGCCCCUUAGUACGGGACAACGUCGGGAAACUGACGCUAAUACCGUAUAAUAUCUCCGGAUCAAAGAUUUAUCGCUGAGGGAGUGGCCCGCGUCUGAUUAGCUAGUUGGUGAGGUAAUGGCUCACCAAGGCUACGAUCAGUAGCAGGUCUGAGAGGAUGAUCUGCCACACUGGGACUGAGACACGGCCCAGACUCCUACGGGAGGCAGCAGUUAGGAAUAUUGGACAAUGGGCGAAAGCCUGAUCCAGCCAUGCCGCGUGUGUGAUGAAGGCCUUAGGGUUGUAAAGCACUUUCGUUGGGGAUGAUAAUGACCGUACCCAAAGAAGAAGCACCGGCUAACUUCGUGCCAGCCGCCGCGGUAA